rnacentral:misc_RNA from 1 species
AAGUCGUAACAAGGUUUCCGUAGGUGAACCUGCGGAAGGAUCAUUCAUAAUGAGUGUAUAAUGGCACUCUAAAUCCCAUUACCCACCUUGUGUGCAUUGUCGAAAGAGGAAGGAGCGAUUUCAAUUGCUCUUUCCUUUUUUAUACAUACCAAUUUUUUCUUCAGUAUCAGUCUACUUCUAUUUAGAGUAAUAAAAAACUCAAAAUACAACUUUCAACAACGGAUCUCUUGGCUCUC